AGCCUGCAGGAGUGGGAGGGAGGGGCAGGAGAGGUGCAGCUGGAGCAGGCUCCACAGAAAAGCUGUGGGAACGCAAAGAGCAGGGAAAUGACGAGGGACACGUCAUUCAGUGGAAGCUGAAAUGCAGAGGGGGUGGUAAGGAGAAGAGGAGCAGGCAGGCAGAGAUUUGGAAGUCUCAUCCCAGAAGGACUGUCCUCAAGACUGCAGAUGACCCUGCAGACUUUUUCUGCUAGAAACCUUCCUAGCAAAUAUCCAAUUGCCUUCUACAGUUCCACCUAAGAGAGAGAAGACAGCUUGAUUUCUGUAGCAGGGGAAAGUCAAGGUCCUACGAACCACCAUCAUGGUGACUCUUCCUCUCUUCCUCUUCUUCAUCCUCUUGCCCUGCAGUAAAUCCCGGGAGGAGUUUCUGGACCACAAUCUGAAAUGGGACUACAGAGAAGGCGCUGACAAAGUCAACAUAGGAGGCAUUAACAGCAUUACUCAAACACUUGAGAAAUGGGGAAACAGCAUCUUCUGGCAAAUGAAACACAUCCUGCUGAACAACCCAGAGUCUUUGCUGCCGGAGAUCUCCAGUCUCCGCCCUGUUUCUGCAGCUGUGGAGAAUCUUGUGAGGGAAGUCCAGGCAAUACGGAAAAGGCUAGAAGAAUUGAAUGAAAGGCUCAAUGUCAUCAACAAAGCUGUCCUUCCCCUCCGAAUUAACGCUCUGCAGAGCCAGAGGCGUGCAAAUACUCACCUGCGGAGACUCCCAAUGCAUAGGAGAAGGUUACCUGCGCGCAGGAGACUUCAGAGGAAUUAACUCUCUACCAGCAAAAAAAAGGAAAGCCUUUGUUUUUUGCACCUGCUUAAGCCUUUCUCAAUGGGACACUGUUAAACAGAAUAAACUAAAGCACAUACAAGAUGACUUUACUGAGGAGACCAGAACUUCUGCAUGUUGUUCUUCUAUUUCAAGCCUAGGUCAGUAAGUCAAAUCUGGACCUGGUCUUCAGCGAUGGUUGUUUUGUGUCCUAUGCAAAAUAAGUUGAGAAACUUGGUCUACUUCAGUGUGAAUACCUUUAGGUUAUGCUGUCGUUCCUUCUGCUUACCAGGGUAAGCUCUUUUUUAAAAAGUUCAGCUGAAUUUCUCUGUCCUAUUUUCACAGCACUCUGUCAGAAACAGCUGGGGAAUUCAAUCUUCAAAAGUGCUGAAUGCCGGAUGAAUGUAGGAAGAUAGAUUAGUGCUUUGCACUUCCAGCUGGCUUCCCGAAUAUGAUGGAUAGCAGCUUAGCAACUUCAUCUUCCGUUUCCCUCAGGAGCCACGGAUGUAUCUCAUCAGAUGUUCAAUUGCAGCUUCCUUAGAUGAUCUUGAACCUGAUCUUCUCAUAUAGUGGUGGCUCUUCAUUCUCCCAGACCACACCUUUGCCUCCGUGACUUGGGCAGCAUGGCUAGAGCAUUUGUUGGUGAAGACUGAGGAAAAAAGUUACUGAGUAACUAAGCCUUAGUAACAAGGUCUCCUGUUUCCUUCCAGAAAGGGACCACAUUUUCCCUAACCUUCCUUUUGUCACCAACAUACCUACAGAAGCUUUUCUUUUUGUCUUAGAUGUCCCUGCUCAUAUCUAAUUCUAUGAGGGUUUUAGCUUUCCUUAUCUGAUCCCUCGUGGCUUGGAUAAUUUCUCUGCAUUCCUCGCAGGCUACCUGUUGUUGCUUCCACUGCCUGCAGGUCUCCUUUCUGUGUUUGAGUUUGGCCAGGAACAUUUUGUUCAUCUAUGCAGGCCUCCUGGUGUUUUUGUCUGAUUUCCUCUUUGUUGAGGCGCAUUGCUUCUGAACUUGGAAGAGGUGAUUCUUGAAUAUCAACCAGUUUCCUUGGGCCCCUCUUCACUUCAGGGCUACGUCCCACAGUCCUCUAACAAGCAGAUAGAUCCCCAAAGAGGCCAAAGUCUGGUCUCCUAAAGUCCCGUGCAAUGAGCUUGCUAUACAUCAAGGAUGCUCUAUGGAUCCUGAACUCGGCCAUUUCAUGAUGACUGCAGUCAAAGCCUUCAUCAUAAUUUCUGCAGGCAAAGCUUUCGUGUUAAUUUCUAAGGAAAUGCAGACUACUCUGAUUUCAGAAUAUAUUUACCCAAAUAACAGGGAAUAAGAGGAGAGAAAGACCCCAUCGACCUCUUCCUCACUGUACUGCAUUCGGAUCCACGAGGCAGCACUGCAGCAUCAGCUGUACAUUUCCCUCCAGGGGCUGCUUUGUGCACUUUCCUCAAGGCUGAAUACUACCCACCUUGGCCUAUGUGGAGGAAGAACACAACACAAAUG